UUAGUGAAGAAAGUAGAAGUUGUCGCGUGCUCUCCAUUUAUUUGUGAAAUUUACCAAUUAAUAUUGAAUGGAAAAUUAGGCGAAGAAGAAUUAAACGCCCAGAAAAGUUGAUGAAGAGAGACACGGACAACAGUGAGGGGAAUUAGAAGAUUUAUUGUGAAGAGAAAGGCAGGCAAGCCCAAUUUAGGAGGGAUAUUAUCUCGAACCAAAAUUACACGCUACGGCUUGGUCUGCCUGAAGUUUGCGAUUUGCUGAAAAAUAUAUGAAUAAAGAGUUCUUGUUCAAUUCCGAA